rnacentral:rRNA from 1 species
UCUUCGCGGUGGGCAGCGGUGGGGGGUCGCAGAAACCAGUGAGAAGCGACUGUUUACUAAAAACACAGGUCCGUGCGAAGUCGCAAGACGAUGUAUACGGACUGACGCCUGCCCGGUGCUGGAAGGUUAAGAGGACCGGUCAACCACUUCGGUGGUGAAGCUGAGAAUUUAAGCCCCAGUAAACGGCGGUGGUAACUAUAACCAUCCUAAGGUAGCGAAAUUCCUUGUCGGGUAAGUUCCGACCUGCACGAAUGGCGUAACGACUUCUCAACUGUCUCAACCAUAGACUCGGCGAAAUUGCACUACGAGUAAAGAUGCUCGUUACGCGCGGCAGGACGAAAAGACCCCGGGACCUUCACUACGACUUGGUAUUGGAGUUCGUUACGGUUUGUGUAGGAUAGGUGGGAGACUGUGAAGCUCACACGCCAGUGUGGGUGGAGUCAUUGUUGAAAUACCACUCUGAUCGUAUUGGGCUUCUAACUUCGAACCGUAUAUCCGGUUCAGGGACAGUGCCUGGUGGGUAGUUUAACUGGGGCGGUUGCCUCCUAAAAUGUAACGGAGGCGCCCAAAGGUUCCCUCAACCUGGACGGCUAUCAGGUGUUGAGUGUAAGUGCACAAGGGAGCUUGACUGCGAGACGUACAUGUCGAGCAGGGACGAAAGUCGGGACUAGUGAUCCGGCACCCCCGAGUGGAAGGGGUGUCGCUCAACGGAUAAAAGGUACCCCGGGGAUAACAGGCUGAUCUUCCCCAAGAGUCCAUAUCGACGGGAUGGUUUGGCACCUCGAUGUCGGCUCGUCGCAUCCUGGGGCUGGAGCAGGUCCCAAGGGUUGGGCUGUUCGCCCAUUAAAGCGGCACGCGAGCUGGGUUUAGAACGUCGUGAGACAGUUCGGUCUCUAUCCGCCGCGCGCGUCAGAAGCUUGAGGAAACCUGUCCCUAGUACGAGAGGACCGGGACGGACGAACCUCUGGUCUACCAGUUGUCCCACCAGGGGCACUGCUGGAUAGCUACGUUCGGACAGGAUAACCGCUGAAAGCAUCUAAGCGGGAAACCUCUUCCAAGACCAGGCUUCUCACCCAUUUAAGUGGGAUAAGGCCCCCCGCAGACCACGGGAUUGAUAGACCAGACCUAGAAACCCAGUGAUGGGCGCAGGGAACUGGCACUAACCGGCCGAAAACUUACGAAA